rnacentral:rRNA from 1 species
GACAGAGGCCCCAAGCGUUAGGCGGAAUCACUGGGCUUAAAGCGUGUGUAGGCGGAUCGUUAAGUGUCCGCGUGAAAUCCCACGGCUCAACCGUGGAACUGCCGGGCAUACUGGCGAUCUUGAGGCAUUCAGGGGCGAGCGGAACAAAUGGUGGAGCGGUGAAAUGCGUAGAUAUCAUUUGGAACGCCAAUGGUGAAAACAGCUCGCUGGGAAUGAUCUGACACUGAGACGCGAAAGCCAGGGGAGCGAACGGG